AAGCAUAUCAAUAAGCGGAGGAAAAGAAACUAACAAGGAUUCCCCUAGUAACGGCGAGUGAAGUGGGAAAAGCUCAACUUUGAAAUCUGGCACCUUCGGUGUCCGAAUUGUAGUCUCUAGAAGUGUUUUCCGUGCUGGCCCAUGUGUGAGUCUGUUGGAACACAGCGUCAUAGAGGGUGACAACCCCGUUCAUAACAUGGACCCCAGUGCUUUGUGAUACACUCUCGACGAGUCGAGUUGUUUGGGAAUGCAGCUCAAAUUGGGUGGUAAAUUCCAUCUAAAGCUAAAUAUUGGCGAGAGACCGAUAGCAAACAAGUACCGUGAGGGAAAGAUGAAAAGCACUUUGGAAAGAGAGUUAACAGUACGUGAAAUUGCUAAAAGGGAAACGAUUGAAGUCAGACGUGCGUGGUGCGGUUCAGCUCUGGUUCGCCAGAGUGUAUUCCGUGCCUUUGCAGGCCAACAUCGGUUUCACGAGGCGGAUAAAGGUUUGAGAAAUGUGGCACCUUCGGGUGUGUUAUAGUCUCUUGCUGAAUACGCCUCGAGGGACCGAGGAACGCAGCGCGCCGCAAGGCAAAGCCUCUGGGCUUUUCGCGCUUAGGAUGUUGGGUGAAAUGGCUUUAAACGACCCGUCUUGAAACACGGACCAAGGAGUCUAACAUGCUGCAGGUUUGGG
rnacentral:rRNA from 1 species